CUACUCUCCACCUACUCCUCACCUACUACACACUCACCCUCUUCUAUAUAUAGGAAUCAUGAAUCAUUGUAAUAAACAACAUACAUCAAUCAAUAAUACAUCAGUUUUUCUUACAUGACUCAACUGCUAGAAAAGAUUAGAUGCCUACUUAUUUAGAAGUUAACACAAUGCCUACGGUUAUUGAAAAGUAGAACUAUGUGCUGAAAUUGCUUAUUUAAGUGUUGAAUUAUCAAUAGAAGCUUUAAAGCUGAAGUCAAGUCAUUAAAUGCUGAAACUCUGAAGAAGUUUAAACAUGGUUUUGAAGGCCGGAAGAGUAUGAUAAUAGCUUUAUGUACAUGCUUAGCUGAAAUUGAAAUAUUUUCAUGAGGUGUUAUAUCUUAUUUUUCCUAUUUGUUUUUGAUUGGUAGUGUGUGCGGAUUUGGUUCGUGGUGCCAAGGAUAAGAGGCUGGGGGUGAAGGGACCUGUCAAGAUGCCCACCAAGGUUCUUCACAUCACUACCAGGAAGUCCCCUUGUGGUGAAGGUGAAAAAGCCGAAUGCUCCUUUGGAAACACCAUCCCGAGGUCUAAGAACAGUUGGAGAAUCUGUUGGAAGAUACAUUGUGUGGCGCUUCAUUCAUAUGCUAUCUUUUUUAGUACAUGAUGAUAUAUUCGCAUAUUGAUAUUGGAGCUUACUGUUGAUACUAAAACAAGCUAUAACAUAUAUGUU